GGGUUUGUUCUACUUUCAUUCAUCUCGUCACGCUCUCUAUGCCCAGAUAAAACACACAAUGUACUGUAAUGAUGAGGGUUACCCAGGGUUCCCCAGUGGUGGGGGGGGGGGAUUCCUUUCCUAGCUGCUAUAAAAUGCCUUCACACACUGUGUGCGCUUCAUUUGUCCUUGGUAAAAGAAAAGCCAGUAGUAUUUCAGACCUCAGGAUUUUAUUUAUCAACUGGUCAAAAUGAAGGGAUUGAUUGUCGUCGUGGUUUUGGUGACACUGAUGAUUUCAACUGAUGCGUUCCUGAUGCACAGCAGACAACGUUGCCUCUGUCUGAAAACACGGGACCGUGUGAAUUCCAGUAACAUAGUCCAAUCCACCGUUCAUCAGAGGAGUGUAAUGUGUGACCAUGUGGAGAUAGUGGUGCAGUUGAAAAUACCAUCAAAAUAUAUCUGCCUGAAUCCUGACUCUAAAAUGGGCAAGAGAAUACAGACUAAGUGGAACCUGAAGAACUGAGCUAAACAUGAUAACACAAACUAUGUGAUGAUGAUAUAACUGACUGUACUGACCAAAAAGUACAUGUAACUAUGUUGUCUUUCUCUGCAGUUUGAGGUAACUUUACUUGUUCCACUGACAAUGCAAUUAGAAAGUGUAUUUCAGAGCUACAGGGUAAUGCACAAAGCUCGUAACAACAUUCUAGGAAAUCUCUGCAAUGACAAGGCUGUAACAUCAUUCUAGAACAUCUCUGCUAUGACAAGCCUGUAACAACAUUCUAGAACAUCUCUGCUAUGACAAGCCUGUAACAUCAUUCUAGAACAUCUCUGCUAUGACAAGGCUGUAACAACAUUCUAGAACAUCUCUGCUAUGACAAGCCUGUAACAACAUUCUAGAACAUCUCUGCUAUGACAAGCCUGUAACAUCAUUCUAGAACAUCUCUGCAAUGACAAGCCUGUAACAUCAUUCUAGAACAUCUCUGCAAUGACAAGCCUGUAACAACAUUCUAGAACAUCUCUGCAAUGACAAGCCUGUAACAUCAUUCUAGAACAUCUCUGCUAUGACAAGCCUGUAACAACAUUCUAGAACAUCUCUGCUAUGACAAGCCUGUAACAUCAUUCUAGAACAUCUCUGCUAUGACAAGCCUGUAACAUAAUUCUAGAACAUCUCUGCUAUGACAAGCCUGUAACAACAUUCUAGAACAUCUCUGCUAUGACAAGCCUGUAACAUCAUUCUAGAACAUCUCUGCUAUGACAAGCCUGUAACAACAUUCUAGAACAUCUCUGCUAUGACAAGCCUGUAACAUCAUUCUAGAACAUCUCUGCUAUGACAAGCCUGUAACAUCAUUCUAGAACAUCUCUGCUAUGACAAGCCUGUAACAACAUUCUAGAACAUCUCUGCUAUGACAAGCCUGUAACAACGUUCUAAGAACAUCUCUGCUAUGACAAGCCUGUAACAUCAUUC